GGGGCAUUAGCUCAGUUGGCUAGAGCGUUUGACUGGCAGUCAAGAGGUCAGCGGUUCGAUUCCGCUAUGCUCCA
rnacentral:tRNA from 1 species